rnacentral:rRNA from 1 species
UUAGAGUUUGAUCCUGGCUCAGGAUGAACGCUAGCGACAGGCCUAACACAUGCAAGUCGAGGGGCAGCGCGUUGGUAGCAAUACCGAUGGCGGCGACCGGCGCACGGGUGCGUAACAGGUGUGCAAUCUGUCCAUAACCGGGGAAUAGCCCACCGAAAGGUGAAUUAAAGCUCCAUGUGAGUAAGAGAGGCAUCUCUUUUACUUAAAACGCGAGGGUUAUGGGUGAGCACGCUUCUGAUUAGAUAGUUGGUGAGGUAACGGCUCACCAAGUCGACGAUCAGUAGGGGUUCUGAGAGGAAGGUCCCCCACAUUGGAACUGAGACACGGUCCAAACUCCUACGGGAGGCAGCAGUGAGGAAUAUUGGUCAAUGGACGGAAGUCUGAACCAGCCAUGCCGCGUGAAGGAAUAAGGCCCUAUGGGUCGUAAACUUCUUUUGUGGUGGAGCAAUAAGUCGUACGUGUACGGCGAUGAGAGUACAUCACGAAUAAGCAUCGGCUAACUCCGUGCCAGCAGCCGCGGUAAUACGGAGGAUGCAAGCGUUAUCCGGAUUUAUUGGGUUUAAAGGGUGCGUAGGCUGUUCGACAAGUCAGGGGUGAAAGCCCGGCGCUUAACGCCGGAACUGCCUUUGAUACUGCCGAGCUGGAAUACGGAUGCCGUGGGAGGAAUGAGUAGUGUAGCGGUGAAAUGCAUAGAUAUUACUCAGAACACCGAUUGCGAAGGCAUCUCACGAAUCCGUCAUUGACGCUGAGGCACGAAAGCGUGGGGAUCAAACAGGAUUAGAUACCCUGGUAGUCCACGCAGUAAACGAUGAUAACUAACCGUCGGCGAUAGACAGUCGGUGGCCAAGCGAAAGCGAUAAGUUAUCCACCUGGGGAGUACGUUCGCAAGAAUGAAACUCAAAGGAAUUGACGGGGGCCCGCACAAGCGGAGGAACAUGUGGUUUAAUUCGAUGAUACGCGAGGAACCUUACCCGGGCUCGAACGGCUAGUGAACGACACAGAGAUGUGAAGGUCCUUCGGGACACUAGUCGAGGUGCUGCAUGGUUGUCGUCAGCUCGUGUCGUGAGAUGUUGGCUUAAGUGCCAUAACGAGCGCAACCCUUGUUGAUAGUUACCAUCAAGUAAAGUUGGGGACUCUAUCAAGACUGCCACCGCAAGGUGUGAGGAAGGCGGGGAUGACGUCAAAUCAGCACGGCCCUUACGUCCGGGGCGACACACGUGUUACAAUGGUAGCUACAGAGGGAAGCCACCUGGUGACAGGGAGCAGAUCUCGAAAAGCUAUCUCAGUUCGGAUUGGAGUCUGCAACUCGACUCCAUGAAGCUGGAUUCGCUAGUAAUCGCGCAUCAGCCAUGGCGCGGUGAAUACGUUCCCGGGCCUUGUACACACCGCCCGUCAAG